UGAUUUAUAAUGAAUUGAAAAAGGUAUUUAAAUAUACCUUUAACAAGAAACCAGAGGCUUUCCUUCUGGGUAUUGUCAGCCAAGGGGUGGCAAGGAAGGACCAGACAUUUUUUAUGUAUGCAACAACAGCAGCAAGGAUACUUCUUGCAAAACAUUGGAAAACUCAAGAUUUACCCACACUGGAAGAAUGGCAGAUGCAACUGAUAGACUACAUGGAACUGGCUGAAAUGACCGGCAGAAUCCGUGACCUGGGAGAAGAGAGAAUCGAGGAGGAUUGGAAGAAAUUUAAGAACUAUCUACAAAAAUAUUGUGAUUUGAGUGAAUGCUAAAUAAGAUGCUAGACUAAAUAACUGAGCACCACUUAACUUAGAAGUUUUUAAGAAAACAAGUAAGACUGUGAAAGUUUAACUCUUUAUGAGAACUAUAAGAUUAUGAAACAUUGAAGAGAUAUAAGAAUUUAAAUAAGAUGAUAAAUUGCUGACAAAAUGUUAUAACGAUGAAAGUGGGAGCGGGGGAUGUGAGGAAGUCCAAAGAAAAUGUGAAAUUAUGUUAAGACAAAUGUUAUAUUGUUUAUUAUGUUUAUUCCUAUUGUAAAACCCAAUAAAUUGCUUU
rnacentral:lncRNA from 1 species